GUCCCUAUAGCGCAAUGGAGAGCGCGUUGGACAUCUAAUCCAAACGUUGUGGGUUCGACUCCCACCUGGGAUG